AUGCAGGCCACGGCACCUACCAGAGGACCCAGCACUUCAGAGUCCACCCGACCCCCUUCUGUGUAUCCCUUGGCUUCCUGCUGCAAAGGCACCACUGCCUCGGUGACUCUGGGCUGCCUGGCCAUGGGCUACUUCCCAGAGCCAGUGACCAUGACCUGGGAUGAAGAAGCCUCCCUGAGCAAGAGCGCUGUGACCUUUCCCUCUGUCACCACCUCCGGCCUCUACAUCACCACCAGCCUGGUCACUGCCUCAGGUGCACAGGCCAAGCAGAAGUUCACCUGCAGAGUGGUGCACGCUCCCUCUGCAGCCCACAUCAACAAGACCUUCGAAGCGUGCUCCGUCACCUUCACCCCGCCCACCGUGAAGCUCUUCCACUCCUCCUGCAACCCCCGCGGGGACUCCCAUUCCACCAUCCAGCUCCUAUGCCUCAUUUCUGGCUACACCCCAGGUGAAAUCGAGGUCACUUGGCUGGUGGACGGGCAGAACAUCACCAACAUGUACCCGUACACCACCCAGCCCAAGCUGGAGGGCAAGCUGGCCUCCACCCAAAGUGAUCUCAACAUCACCCAGGGCCAGUGGGUGUCCGAAAGCACCUACACCUGCCAGGUCGCCUACCGCGGCAGCACCUUUGAGGACAGUGCUCGGAGAUGCGUAGAUUCCAACCCGCGAGGCGUAAGCAUCUAUCUGAGCCCACCCAGCCCUCUCGACCUGUAUGUCCACAAGUCACCCAAGAUCACCUGUCUGGUGGUGGACCUGGCCAGCAAGGAAGGUGUAAGUCUGGUCUGGUCCCGGGACAGUGGGAAGCCCGUGACUGUGGGCCCCCUGGUGACCAAGGAUCAGUACAAUGGGACAGUCACUGUCACGUCCACAUUGCCGGUGGAUGCCACAGACUGGACUAGGGGUGAGACCUACCAGUGCAGGGUGUCCCACCCUGACCUGCCCAGGGACAUCGUGCAGUCCAUCUCCAAGGCCUCCGGCAACCCUGUCUCCCCUGAAGUCUACGUGUUCCUGCCACCUGAGGAGGAGCAGGCGAACAAGCGCAAGGUCACCCUUACGUGCCUGGCCCAGAACUUCUUCCCCGCGGACAUCUCUGUGCAGUGGCUGCGAGAGAAGGUGCAGAUCCAUGGUGACCAGUACAGCACAACGUGGCCCGUCACGGCCAACAGCUCCAGCCCCACUUUCUUCGUCUUCAGCCGCCUGGAGGUGACCUGGGCAGACUGGGAGCAGAACAAAGAAUUCACCUGCCGCGUGGUCCACGAGGCACUGCCCGGCAAUAGGAUCCUCGAGAAACCGGUGUCUAAAAAACCUGAGCUGGACCUCCAGGACCUGUGUGCAGAAGAGGCUUCCAGUGAGGAGCUGGACGGGCCGUGGACCAGCCUCUGCAUCUUUGUCGCCCUCUUCCUGCUCAGCGUGAGCUACAGUGCCACCGUCACCCUGGUCAAGGUGAAGUGGGUCCUGUCGGCCGUGCUGCAGGGGGGCCCACAGGCCUCCCAUGACUACGCCAACAUCCUCCAGCCAGGUGCCUAG